UGGCUCAGGAUUAACGCCGGCGGCAUGCCUAAUACAUGCAAGUCGAACGAAAAAUAUAUAGAUGCUUGCAUUUAGAUAUUUUUAGUGGCGAACGGGUGAGUAAUAUAUAGAUAACCUACCUUUAAGUUGGGGAUAACAGAGGGAAACUUUUGCUAAUACCGAAUAAAAUAAUUAGACGCAUGUUUAAUUAUUAAAAGGGGCUUCAAAGCCCCGCUCUAAGAGGGGUCUAUAUCGCAUUAGCUAGUUGGUAAGAUAACAGCCUACCAAGGCUAUGAUGCGUAGCUGUACUGAGAGGUAGAACAGCCACAUUGGGACUGAGAUACGGCCCAAACUCCUACGGGAGGUAGCAGUAGGGAAUUUUCGGCAAUGGGGGGAACCCUGACCGAGCAAUGCCGCGUGAUUGAAGAAGAUCUUCGGAUCGUAAAGAUCUGUUAUUAGGGAAGAAUGGAAUUGAUAGGAAAUGAUCAAUUUAUGACGGUGCCUAAUGAGGAAGCCCCGGCUAACUAUGUGCCAGCAGCCGCGGUAAUACAUAGGGGGCGAGCGUUAUCCGGAAUUAUUGGGCGUAAAGGGUACGUAGGCGGGCCUGCAAGUCUGAUUUGAAAGCACACGGCUUAACCGUGUGAGGUAAUUAGAAACUACAGGUCUAGAGAGUGGUAGAGGUAAAUGGAAUUCCAAGUGGAGCGGUGAAAUGCGUAGAGAUUUGGAGGAACACCAGUGGCGAAGGCGGUUUACUGGGCCACAUCUGACGCUGAUGUACGAAAGCGUGGGGAGCAAACAGGAUUAGAUACCCUGGUAGUCCACG
rnacentral:rRNA from 1 species